UACGUAGGUGACAAGCGUUGUCCGGAUUUACUGGGCGUAAAGAGCGCGCAGGCGGUCGUUCAAGUCGCGUGUGAAAGCCCCCGGCUCAACUGGGGAGGGUCACGCGAUACUGAUCGACUCGAAGGCAGGAGAAGGUAGUGGAAUUCCCGGUGUAGUGGUGAAAUGCGUAGAUAUCGGGAGGAACACCAGUGGCGAAGGCGACUACCUGGCCUGUUCUUGACGCUGAGGCGCGAAAGCGUGGGGAGCAAACAGG
rnacentral:rRNA from 1 species